CGACAUCGAGCAAAGCUUCCAGGAGGCCCUUGCCAUCUAUCCUCCAUGUGGCCGCCGAAAAAUUAUUCUCUCCGACGAGGGUAAAAUGUAUGGACGAAAUGAAUUAAUAGCUCGAUAUAUUAAACUUCGAACGGGAAAGACUCGAACUCGGAAGCAGGUGAGCUCGCAUAUCCAGGUUCUAGCGAGACGAAAAUUGCGAGAAAUCCAGGCCAAGCUAAAGGUUCCUGGUCCACACGGACACUCUUACCUAGAGCAGGCGCAUAAAGAGAAAGCGUUGCAGCAGAUGCAGCAGAUGAGCUCCGCCCAGAUAGUCUCCGCCUCCGCCCUGCACAACAGGGUGAUGCAUCCGCAUCAUCCAGGGUCACCGCAUCAUCCGCCUUCCCCGCAUCAUCCUCCUGUAUCAUAUCAUCAAUUCUGGCAACCUCAACUACAUCAUCCACAAGAAGAUGUGAAACCGUUUAUUCAGCAGCCUCCUUUCUCCCUGGGAGAGGUGAAACCUCCCAUGCCCUUGAUGUGCGGGACCCCGCCCCCCAUCACCCCCCACUGGUUGGGGAGAUCGAUUGCCACGAGCCGGUUGAGGUUGUUGGAGCACACAGCCUUCGUGGAGCAGGGUGAGGGUGAGGAGUAUCAACAGCAUUUCUUCGUUCAUAUCUCAAAUAAUGUUUCCUACACAGAUCCAGUUCUUGAGCCUGUAGAUGUUCGACAGAUCCAGGACAAGUUCCCGGAGAAGACCGGAGGGUUGAAGGACCUGUAUGAGAAGGGACCCAGAGAUGCGUUCUUCUUGGUCAAGUUCUGGGCGGAUCUUAACACUAAUAUUUCGGACGAAUCAGCUUUCUACGGAGUCAAUUCAACUUAUGAGAGUUCGGAGAAUAUGACGAUCCAAUGCUCCACGAAGGUCUGCAGCUUUGGCAAGCAGGUGGUGGAGAAGGUGGAGACUGAGCACGCCAGGUUUGAGGGCGGGAGGUACGUUUACAAGCUGCACAGAUCUCCGCUCUGUGAGUACAUGGUCAACUUCAUCCUCAAGCUGAAGCACCUGCCGGAGAAGUACAUGAUGAACAGUGUCCUAGAGAACUUCACGAUCUUACAGUGUUUAACAAACAGUGAAACCGGAGAGACAUUGCUCUGUACCGCGUACGUAUUUGAAGUUUCAACCAGUGAUCAUGGAGCCCAACAUCAUAUAUACAGACUUGUUCGAGAUUGAACACGUUUUACAAAAUUAAAUUAUAAGGAUUAAUGCAAUUUUCCGUCCAACACGCUUUCGAGGAAUCAUGAUCUCAAAAUUUUGAUAUUUUUCCCGCGUUUUUUUUAUUGACUGAGCUUCUGUGCCUGCAGUACGUUUGAAAACUGGAUCUCAUCGUGUGUUUACAAACAAAAAAGAUCUCAACAGUUUUAUGAUCAUUUAUAUUGGAACCAUUUAUAGAUAAAAAAAACCCAGGGUAGUUUUUUUUGUCUACGACAGAAGUAAAGUUGAAAGAUACAGGGUCAUUCACAAAGUAAGAAACCCCAGAUUUUAUUUCGCCUUUUACAAAUAUUCCGAAUUUUCUAAUUAACAAACUUAUUUAUUUGCCGCAUUUUUAAAUAAUUACAAAUUUAUUUUGUAUAAAGUUGUGGAUAACCCUGUAUUUGAAUUAAUUAAGACAAAUCUUAAAAAAAUAACAAUUUUAAAAAGAAUCCAAGAACCAUGAUCAUCCUUGUGCCAAUUAAUCUGAAAUGAAAACGCUUAAAGUUUUACUUGAUGAGGAAAUGUUAAGGAUUAUUUUUCUAUUCUCCCGGAAAAGGAUAUUUUUAGAAAAUGCAUAAUAUCAAAAUUUAGAAAUAUUCAUAAUAAUUAUUAAUAUUUGUAAAUGAAAAUAGUAUUUGCUGUGAUAUAGUUAAAUAUAUGAUAUUAUAUAAUAUUGUUUUAUACUUUUGUAAAUAAAUCAUUUCAUGCAUAUAAAAAGUUUAAAAGUUUUGUCAUUAAAUACAGUGAUGGCAAAAAAAAGUUU
rnacentral:misc_RNA from 1 species